rnacentral:rRNA from 1 species
UACGUAGGGGCUAGCGUUAUCCGGAAUUACUGGGCGUAAAGGGUGCGUAGGUGGUUUCUUAAGUCAGAGGUGAAAGGCUACGGCUCAACCGUAGUAAGCCUUUGAAACUGGGAAACUUGAGCGCAGGAGAGGAGAGUGGAAUUCCUAGUGUAGCGGUGAAAUGCGUAGAUAUUAGGAGGAACACCAGUUGCGAAGGCGGCUCUCUGGACUGUAACUGACACUGAGGCACGAAAGCGUGGGGAGCAAACAGGAUUAGAUACCCCGGUAGUCCCUGAGCGGGCU